rnacentral:rRNA from 1 species
GACGAACGCUGGCGGCGUGCCUAAUACAUGCAAGUCGAACGGACGAGUAAGAGCUUGCUCUUAUGAGUUAGUGGCGCACGGGUGAGUAAUGUAUAGUUAAUCUGCCCUACACUGGAGGACAACAGUUAGAAAUGACUGCUAAUACUCCAUACUCCUUCUUAACACAAGUUAAGUCGGGAAAGUUUUUUCGGUGUAGGAUGAGACUAUAUUGUAUCAGCUAGUUGGUGAGGUAAUGGCUCACCAAGGCUAUGACGCAUAACUGGUCUGAGAGGAUGAUCAGUCACACUGGAACUGAGACACGGUCCAGACUCCUACGGGAGGCAGCAGUAGGGAAUAUUGCUCAAUGGAGGAAACUCUGACGCAGUGACGCCGCGUAUAGGAAGAAGGUUUUCGGAUUGUAAACUAUUGU